rnacentral:rRNA from 1 species
AUGUAUGGGAGAGGUUGGAGGAAGUUCUAUGAAGACAACAAUCUGGGCAAGGGUCAGAUGGUGGUGUUCCACCUGGAUGAACCUUCACCUACGGCAUCUAUUUUGUGGUUCCAGGUGGGCAACGGCUCUAAAGAUGAACAGCCUAUGGAAGAGGGUUAUCCCAUUGAAGAUUCAGAUUCAGGUAAUGAGGAUGGAGAAGCUUCAAGCGAUGAUGGUGAAGGCAUUGUUCGCACUAGGGGGCUUUUGCUUAAUGAGAUAGAGGAUGCUCAGCUACAAGGGCUGCUGCCUCUCAGUGAUGGUUUCAUCGGGUUUGCUUUUGUUCACCGCCUGACAAGGACUGACAUUCGCUUGGGCAUGAUGAAAAUACCCAAGAAAGUUGCUACUGCCACGCCGUUUGAAGAACAGGGGGUUGUUGGUAUUUCUGUGGAUGGUCGGAGAUUCAAAAAAAUCUCAUACAAGACUACUGAUGAUGGCCGCAUUGUGUUUGGCAGCAAGAAGUGGAAAAACUUCACAGCUAGCAGAGGACUCAAAGUCAACACAGUUGUUCUUAUUGGCUUCAAGAGCAGCGAGAGGGAUGAUGUCCAUGUCCUGGUUAUCUUGAAAAAGCUUCGCUAG